GCCCAAGAGAUCGGGAUAACACCUGGAAACAGAUGCUAAUACCGGAUAACAACAGAUGAUGCCUAUCAACUGUUUAAAAGAUGGUUCUGCUAUCACUCUUGGAUGGACCUGCGGUGCAUUAGCUAGUUGGUAGGGUAACGGCCUACCCAGGCGAUGAUGCAUAGCCGAGUUGAGAGACUGAUCGGCCACAUUGGGACUGAGACACGGCCUAAACUCCUACGGGAGGCAGCAGUG
rnacentral:rRNA from 1 species